rnacentral:rRNA from 1 species
UGGGGAAUAUUGCACAAUGGGCGCAAGCCUGAUGCAGCCAUGCCGCGUGUGUGAAGAAGGCCUUCGGGUUGUAAAGCACUUUCAGCGGGGAGGAAGGCGGUGAGGUUAAUAACCUCAUCGAUUGACGUUACCCGCAGAAGAAGCACCGGCUAACUCCGUGCCAGCAGCCGCGGUAAUACGGAGGGUGCAAGCGUUAAUCGGAAUUACUGGGCGUAAAGCGCACGCAGGCGGUUUGUUAAGUCAGAUGUGAAAUCCUCGGGCUCAACCUGGGAACUGCAUCUGAUACUGGCAAGCUUGAGUCUCGUAGAGGGGGGUAGAAUUCCAGGUGUAGCGGUGAAAUGCGUAGAGAUCUGGAGGAAUACCGGUGGCGAAGGCGGCCCCCUGGACGAAGACUGACGCUCAGGUGCGAAAGCGUGGGGAGCAAACAGG